rnacentral:rRNA from 1 species
UACGUAGGGUGCGAGCGUUGUCCGGAAUUAUUGGGCGUAAAGAGCUCGUAGGCGGUGUGUCGCGUCGGCCGUGAAAACCUGCAGCUUAACUGUGGGCGUGCGGUCGAUACGGGCAUCACUGGAGUUCGGGCAGGGGAGACUGGAAUUCCUGGUGUAGCGGUGAAAUGCGCAGAUAUCAGGAGGAACACCGGUGGCGAAGGCGGGUCUCUGGGCCGAUACUGA